UCGCCUCUCUGAUUUCAGUCGCCGCCGCCGCCGAGCAAGCAGGGAAGGGAGCGCUGGAGGAGCGCCGCGGCGGCCGCAGCUCGCCCGCCCGCCCCGGCUGCCGCCCGCAAAAGAUGCACUUCAGCACUGUCACCAGGGACAUGGAAGCUAUCUCCAGCCCCUGGCUCACCCAGCUGUCCCAUUUUUGCGAUGUUGCAGCUUUCACGGCCAACAGCCUGAGCAGCCUGAACGCCUCCGGCGGGUACCACCUCUCCCCCUCCCCGGGGGACCCGUACGGACAGCAUGAGCCGCCGCACUACGAGCCCUGCACGGCUCAGCAGCACCCGCACCCGCCGCCCCAGCCCCAGCACGGCUAUCCUUUCGGCGGGGCGGCGGCCGGGACCAACCCGCCGCCCCCAGGCCCCGAGCAGCCCGAGGGCGCCGGGGGAGCCGCCGCGGGGCCGGCCGCCGUCUCGGGCUGCUCCGCGGGGGCGGCCGCCGCGGCCAAGGCGCCGGUGAAGAAGAACCCGAAGGUGGCCAACGUGAGCGUCCAGCUGGAGAUGAAGGCGCUGUGGGACGAGUUCAACCAGCUGGGCACCGAGAUGAUCGUCACCAAGGCGGGCAGGCGCAUGUUCCCCACCUUCCAGGUGAAGAUAUUCGGCAUGGACCCUAUGGCUGACUACAUGCUCCUCAUGGACUUCGUUCCCGUAGACGACAAGCGAUACCGGUACGCCUUCCACAGCUCCUCCUGGCUGGUGGCCGGCAAAGCCGACCCCGCCACCCCCGGGAGGGUCCAUUACCACCCGGACUCCCCGGCCAAAGGGGCGCAGUGGAUGAAGCAGAUCGUUUCCUUCGAUAAGCUCAAACUGACCAACAAUUUGCUGGACGACAAUGGGCAUAUCAUUUUGAACUCCAUGCACAGAUACCAGCCGCGUUUUCACGUGGUCUACGUGGACCCCCGGAAAGACAGCGAGAAAUACGCGGAGGAGAACUUCAAAACCUUCGUCUUCGAGGAGACACGUUUCACAGCCGUGACCGCCUACCAGAACCACAGGAUCACACAGCUGAAGAUCGCCAGCAACCCUUUUGCCAAGGGAUUCAGAGACUGUGACCCUGAGGACUGGCCCAGGAACCACAGGCCAGGGGCUCUUCCUCUCAUGAGUGCUUUUGCCAGAUCCCGGAAUCCAGUCUCUUCCCCGGCCCACCAGAAUGGGACAGAGAAAGAUGCUGCCGAGAGCCGGCGGGACUUCGAGCGGGAGGCGGGCGGGACGGGGCUGCACCAGGCGGAGGCCGCGCACCAGCAGCUCAUGUCCCGCGUGCUCAGCCCCGCGCUGCCCGGCGGGCCCGGCGGGCUGGUGCCGCUGUCCGGGCCGGGGGGCGGCCGGCCGAGCCCCCCGCACCACGAACUGCGCCUGGAGCCCGCCGCGUCCGAGCCGCUGCACCACCACCCCUACAAGUACCCGCCGGCCGCCUACGACCACUACCUGGGCGCCAAGAGCCGGCCCGCGCCCUACCCCCUGCCCAGCAUCCGCGGGCACGGCUACCACCACCACCACCACCACCACAUGAACGCGGCGGCCGCGGCCGCGGCGGCCGCCAACAUGUACUCGCCGGCCGGGGCGCCCGCGGGCUACGAGUACGGACCGCGGUAACGGGGCCGCGGGACCGGCCCCGCACGGACACCGCCCGCCGCGCUCGCCUCCCGCCCCUCCAGACACCCGAUAGGCCGGCGCCACCUGAUUGACAGCUGCAGCGCCCAAUCGGCGGCGGCCGGGCCCACGCGGGCCGUGAGGGGCCGGGGCGCCAUCGCGGACAGAGCCGUGAGGGCGGCGGUGCCGUCGCGGGGUGACCCGCCCGUCGGGGGCCGUGAGGGCGGCGGUGCCGGGGCCGCCAUCGCGGAGAGACCGCGGCUGCACUUUGAUAAAUGAAGCCAUAUGUCCUUAUCUCCCGGCGCCUCCGCCCGCGCCGGGCACCCAGGCCGGGAGGGCGGGAGCGGCGGCGAAGCGGCUCGUGCCCGGCCGGUCGGCCGCGGGUGUCCGAGGGCGGAGCGGGGGUGCCGCCGGUGCGGGGGUGUCGCGGGGCCGGUCUCUCCCACCUGGGCACACCGAGGCCUCAUUCGCGGGUGGCUCAGGUGGUUCUUUGAGGGCAAGGGAACGCUUGGGAUCCUCACUGCCAGAACAGAUUUCCCACUUCUCCUCCGGCCCUGACCCUCCCGUGAGUUUUGGGGUUCACGGGGGUGCCUUAACCACAACAGCACUUUCUGGAGCUGUUGAGAAGGGCCCGUGGCCAAGAGGACAGCCACGUACGUGUGUCUUGUUUUCACAACAACAGAUGCAAAGGUUUAAAAACCAGCCUGGGGGGGGGGGGGGUACCUGCAGGGUUUAGGCUGUGUGUUCUCACCCCCUUCCCAGGCAGCCCCACACUCCUGCCUUCCUGCGUCCCUUCCCGAGCUCUUGAUACUCUCCUGUGGAGGUGCCUUUUAGAGGGACUUCAGGGUUUUUUCUCAGUCUGCCUCACCCCUUAUAUUUGGCUGACCCAAACUGCAGUAAUCCCAAAGCACCCGUUCUACACCUACCUGCUUCCUGCAUCUCCCCUCUUAAUGCUGUCUUUAAUUACAGCAUGGGACUUGAACAGUGGCCUCUCCUACUUUUGUCUGACGUCAGCAAAUGAAUUCCUCUAGAUUUCAUUUGGUUCAGGACUUUGAGUGAAGACACUAAGGCCUCAAACUCUGAUUGAGAAUGUUUUCACCUGAAACCAACACAAAUGUUGAGAUGAGCCUGCAGGAACUACACAUUUGGCAUCAGCAUGGAUGGUCCUGCAGACCUGUCACAGUGUGUGGUCAGGGGGUUAAAUGGGAAUCAGCUUUGCCACCAAUUCUUUGGAGAUUUAGAGCCAAUCACUUCAACUCCUUCCUCCCUCUACUGCCACCUUUUUCUAUUACUUGUCAUUCACUGUUGGCAGCCCAUAAACAUUAUUGGCUAAAUAUUCUGCAAAUAUGGUUAUUUUUCACUAACUGCUUUUAUUUACCUUUUUGCCCAAAGUCAGUACCACCAUAAAUAUUUUGUUCCUAUUGUAUGUCUGGAAUAGAAAUGUUCAUAGAGUGCUUCCUCGUCCUGAGGGCAUUGAAGUGAAUGUAAUCUGCCAUUAAAAUCACAGUUUUCAGGCAACCCAGUCAUUUCUCAUCAUUCUUAAUGCAGUGAGAAACCAUAUCAAACAAGUGGCUUUGGUAAGUCAUUCAUUUUCCUCUUGAUUGAUGCAAAAAGUGUAUCUGUCCUAAGGAUAUAAAGCUUUUCCCGAGCAUUUGCAAAUCUUCCAUUAAAGCUUGGAAAGCUCUGAAAGUUACAUUAAGGAUGUUCACAAAUCUUUCCCCCCUUUAAUAGUAUAAUUACUUGAUUGGUUUGAUAAUAAAUCAAAAUCCAAGUGAAGAAAGAUUCAUGUGCUUCAUAUAAAAUGAAUCACAGGGAAAACAUUUCACAAUUAGCAGGCACUCUUGCCUUACCUGCCAUAACUUCAGACACAUGGGCAUGCCCAGCUUGGCACCCACCUCUGGCUUCAAGGUACAGACUGACGUCUUGGAUGGCAGCUCCAAAACCUGAACCUGACAUCAGGAAAACAAGAGGAGUUGGUCAGGCUCCAGGUCAAAAUUCUGCUCUUAAAAACACAAGUCUUUUAAGGUGAUUAAGGUUAGUAUAAGCUCCUCCAGAACUGUCUGCAGGAAGAUGAGGAAUGCAUGCUAAAUUGGAGCUGUAGGGGAAUCUCCAGCUCUCUAAAGAAGUGCAUUGUUUUAGGAACAGAGCGAGCACAUCUUCUUCUCCACUCCUCCAGUUCAUCUGCAUUACAGUCUUCUUUCCAAACAGUAGAUGACAUGUGCACACAACAGAUAACACUGCAGACUGCUUAAACUGAGAACACAGCCCUGCUUCCUUUCUCCUUUUUCCCUCUCUGUUGCUAAUUUUUUGGCUGUGUUCCCCUCUGGACACUUGCAUUCUCUGCUCUGUGCCUUUGUGGUAACACAGAAGUAGAGGCAGUGUGUGUAUGCCAGGAGGAUGUUUUAUUUCCUGCCGACUGCACUGACAAAGUGUAGCCCAGACUCACUGGGCUCCCCGGCUGCAGCAGCCUCAGCACACAGGUAUUUUUAACACAAUGUUGUCUGACCCUGUUCAAAGCAGGCUCAGACAAUGCUGUGUUAAACACCUGCUCUCUCUACAGAGCAGCUUCCCCUGUUGCUUGCACUGAUGGUAAUGAAUUACGGAUCUAGUGUUUUUCUGGAUUUUUUUUUUAAACAUUGGGCAAGUCAUUCCUCUGCCAAGGAAGAAGCUCAUUUCCACCUCAGGAUGAUGGCAGGCAAGAUCAGGAGUCUGCCUUUUCUGUUUGGCACUGGAAGGUUUUGAGUCUUGACUGACGUGGCAGUGCCUCAGCUCUGGGCUGGUUCUCAAGCCUGGAACUAUGAAGAAAUAGAAGCUCUUGAGUAUCAAAACCUUGCUGCCAGAAACAUGGCUGUUUCUCAAACACACCCCUAAUCACCAAGGUGAUCUUUUCUUUUAAUUAAGUAAACAAUGGUCUGCAUUAUGUUGUAAAAUUAAACGACUCGAACCGUUUGGUAAAUGAGCACCCGGCCGUCCUGGGCCCUUUCGGAAGGGGCAGGAGCCCGGCGGCGCUGCCGGACGGCCCCGGGGCGGAACCUCCCGGGGCAUCGGGGAGCUGCUCCACAAACACGGCUCCGCGGGGAGCCAUCAAUCACGACCACGGCAGCUGCGAUGGUUUCCAAUCCCAUCCCUUUAGUUCAAAGCCUGCCAGAACAUCUUCCUCUUUCUGGAGGCUGUGAGCCAGCCUGCCAGCAGCCAGCUGCUCUCGAGGACUGCGGCACCGCAGUCACACCACAGCACACACCGCACUCAGCACACACCGCACUCAGCACACACGGCGCUCCCAGAGCCACGGGGCCAGAGCAGGAAGCUGUUCCCCACGCUGGAGGAGCAGUGACUACAGCCAAGAGCCAUCCAGUCUGCAGCCAAACCUGGAACAGACCAAAGGCUCAUCAGCUGGGAAUUCUGGUUCUUUGGAGCUACACUCUUAACAAAAGAUGCUUUUCUCUUGGCAACUUUCUUGCUAUCAACAUAAUAACCAAGUUAGCUGUGGCAGGAAAUGGGCUGUAAAUAUGAGGAUGACCUGCCCUCAUCUUGCAUCUUUCAUCACUGUCUCUCCAAAGGGCAUUGCCUCCUAGGCAAGACUGAAACUGCAACUGCGACGUAAUGAGGAAGGGUAAGUGUAGUGUGAUAAAUGCACUUCUGCAGGUUAAAAGGAAAAAACCUUCGCUCUCCCUUGACUGAAAACAGAUGAACUGGUACCAGGGCCACAGUUGGGCUUGCAAAGGCCAAAGAAAACCCAGUGAGCAAAGCUUUGUGCAGAAGGCAGGCAGGCAUGAGCUGCUGCCUGUGCUGGACUGGCAGUUCCAGAGGCUGUCUGCAUUAAAAGUAACUGAGCCUUAGAAAUAAAUACUAUUUCAUAUAUUUUGACAACUGUAACCUAAAACUUGAAGUGCUGUGUUUAUGUUGGUUUUGCUUAAUAGAAGAAAGAUUUGCCUUUGCCUGAGGUUAAUAGUGUUCCUGGGUGGCUAAAACUGGCCACAAGGAAACACACCCUUUUUCUUUUUCACAUUAAUAAAGCUUUUAACAUGUUUCUGGCAAAUUGGCAAGAAAAGUGCGUGUAACUCAUAAUUGGUGAUUUAAAUGCAAUCAUGAACAAAUAAAUGCCUGUUCAGAUCUCAUUAUUUAUGGACUGAACCUGCUUUAAGACAAAAUUACUCUUUUUUUGGGCACCAGCCAAGCAUAAACACUUAUUAAGUCUUAAUUUUAAUCAUAAGCUGGAAAUGUACUGCAUCUCACACAGUGCUGCCUAUUUGGAAGGACUGUAUAUUAUGGGAGCUCCUGUGAACUUAUGGAAACGUGACACGGUUCUAGUGCAAGGGGCACACCCAGAGUGGGACUCUUCUACCUGAGGACACAGCAAAUGAUCCUCCCCUGCAGGGCCCAAGCAAACAAAUGAGAACAAACCAGGGAUGAGCUGUGAGCGAGCCUGGGGUGUCCUGUUUGGGUCAGAUGAGUAUUUAAUUUUUACCGCAGAAUGCACUUGUCAGUUUUGUUUAACUGACACAUUAUUGAGCAAAAUGGAGGGAGUUCUUUGUUUGAUCAGAACAAGGUAUGGCACAGGGUGGUUGUACUUAGUGGUGCAGUGGUUGUGUCUGCAGGCUUAGUGCUGUGAAAGGCUGAACAAUCUGGCUGUGGGCCAGCAAAGUACUUAAAUAUGUGCUUAACUUUUGAAUAAUAAAGAGUUCGUAUUUUCUUGCAAUACAGGCACUUAUUACUUCAUGUGUAUAAAAUAUGCAACUUUUAGUUUCAAGAUACAGACCAGAAAAGCAUCUGAACUUAUAUGCUCAUCAACAAGUUGUAGUGAGCUACAAUAUUUCUUUUCAUAUUUAUGCCACUUUUUUGGUAUUUUGAUGUCAAGUAUUUGAAAUAAUUUCUUUUAAUAUGAUGUCCUCAAAACAGUCCUUUGUAGAAAACAAAGCUAUGAUUUCUACAAAGCAGAAGUGGAAGCUGCCAACAAAGCUGUCAGUCAGUGAGUGCAGUGCCAGUGGUAUUAGAUGUGGACAUUUCAGUAGGAACUGAAACCGACCCUGCAAUUAUCUCACACUGAGCAAACCUCUGGCCACUAAUCGUAAUUCAGCUGUUUCCAGCCCCAGUCCCAGGGAAGGAAUUAGCCCGGGGUGAAAGGCCCCGGAUCACGUUACAAAUGAGCCCCUCCCCUGCUCAGAGGGGAGCUGAGCACCUCCACCUGAUGGCAGACCUGCUGACCAGGAGUUCCCCACAAAGACUCCUGUUCCCAGUAUCCAGCAGCACCAGAAGAGUUUUCAAAACUCCUGCAUGUGAAGACCAGCAGUCGCUGCAAAUACUUAAGUGUCAGACAAACCUCGGGCUGGUGUCCCUGUCAUUAGAGCAGGAGUUAUAGAAUUCAGUCAUCUUUGUGGCAGUAAAAUUAGUGAUUAGAACCCCAAAGAUUUCUUGUGCUGCCCUCUCUUGAGCAGAGAAUUCGAGAGCUCCCCUCCUGAACGAUGUCAUUUCAGUAACAAAGGCAACCUCCCAAGCACCAGGAAAAGAGACAGGUCCUACCUCCUGCAGGCCUUUGGCUGCCGUGGCCAUCAGCCAGCGUCCCUGUGCCAGCUGCACCAGAGAGCACCUGCAGAAUCCCACGUGCUCCGUGCAGACAGAGUCCGUCACCGAGGUCCGGCCCUCUGCUAAAUCCCACAGGCAGAUCCUCUGGUCCCGACCCUGGCUGUGACAGUGACACACACAUCUGUGAGCUGCAGGUCCCAGAGCCCUCUGCCUGCAGGGCAGCAGCUCAAACUGAGGCUGGCCCAGGCAGGAGUGCACUGAGCUCAGUGCAGCUGGGGGGUGUCAAUGGGGUCUGUAAUUAACGGGUCCCUUCUGCAGAAGUGGCCGGGAGGAGGGAGGGCCCGAGAGCCAGACAGACACCCUGCAGUCCCAGCGGGCUGUUGCCAUGUGGAGAGAGGCUUGAGCGAGCCCAGUUAUGCUAUUGAUGUGUAUGCAUGUAUUUAUAAAGUCUCAUGAGCAUUUGAACAUAUUCACGAUAAAAAGAUUUAUAUUUUACCAUUAAUCAGAUCUAAUUUAAAAGGAAACAAAAGUACCCAGAGAGCCACACGUGUAACACUCGUUCACCCUAGCAAUGAAAUGGAAAUGUCAUGUGUUGACAGCUGAAAGACAAGCAGCAAGACAAUACAGACGGUGUCAGAGAUAAAUAAAAAGCUACAGUUAUUCAGUGGGCAAUGUCCCACAGGCACAGGGAGGGCAGAGAGGGCUGGUGGGACUGCCACGUGUGGAGACAGGACAGGAGAGGGACUGGCAGCAAUUAAACACCAAAUGUUGAAUGCUCAAACACCCCCCUGAGCCCUGAGGUACAAGUGCAGCUCACUCUGACUGGGCACAGCCCUCGGGGGCUCUCCCAGCCCAGGAGCCCAAAGGGCACAGCAGGAAUUGGUGCAGGGUUCUGGGAUCCCACUGCCUCUGGAACAAGGUACUGCUGUGGAGAAACUUCCAGUCCAUAAACUACAGGAGCACAGGGCAUAUGUCCUCAUGCUACCCCUGGGCCAAGGAGUCACCAAAAAUCCCUUCUCCAUGUGUUACUUUAAUUAACUGGAUCACCUGAUGAAGUAUGAAACCAAAACAGAGGAGAUGUGAAUCUGCAGACCGUUGGGACUUCUUCAGUCAAUACAGAAACUCCCACCUACUGUUCAGCUGAGUGACAAGCUGACACAACAUUUACAGCACUGGGAAUACAAACAAUGUGGUGCUGCAAGAAAUCGUUGUGAUUUAGCUUUAGAAGAGAGAAAUCCAAAAUACAGGUACCUGCUGUCCUAAAAUUGCACUGCUAUGUGAACUGUUAUAACUAUACAGCAGAAAUAGAGGUAUGGAAGAACUCUAUAAUUAUACAAACAAUGUUCAUUCAAUAUGAUUUUAUGGGGAAGAGUGUUGAGAAUUGUACCUAGGCAGAUAAGAAAUAUAAAUGCUAAUGAGUUCCACGUAUAUUAUGAGAUGUCUUCUCUAGAUAAACAUGUCAGAACACCUCCUAAUCAUACAGACACUUUGGCAUCUACUCUAGAUCACCUGUCUAAUCCAAAAUACACAAAUCUACCCAACCUUCCCUUGCUAAACAAGAGGAUAUUUUGCAACAAAGCAAAGGCAUGAAACUCAGCAUUCUUGCUCAUUUUCAGUCUUCCACUCUCCAUCUCUGAUUCUUCUCUUCUUUCCUUCCCUUUUCUCCCUCCCCUCUAUUCACAAACUCUUUAUAUCAAUAUUCCCUGAGAACCAGCUGUGAAAGGUUUUUCAACUUCAAAUCCAAAUGUAUUUCCUUUACCCAAACACCGCCCCUGAUCUCAGUGCAGUAAUAAAGGCACUGUGGAUCCCAAGUUGUGAUGUCAUAACAUUCACAUAAUAAAGAAAUAAUUUCUAUUUCCCCCCACUUUUCAUUCUAGAGUUUCUUUGUAUUUUGUACUUCAGUGCAUUUCCACGUGUUGGGGAGACUUUCAGUGACUCCAGAAUUACGAGACUUUUUUCCCUUCAGUCGUGUCCAUCCCAGAGACAAGAACUAUUUCCCUGGUUCUCCUCUGCUUUGCUCACCUGAGGAGUCUGUCUUUACCACCCAUUGUCUCCACACAGUAGACAGAUUUUCGUCCAUGGCCAUCCAGUGCUGUGUCCACUCUGUGUGUUUUCAGGUUCCAGACAUGGAUGAGCCCGUUCUCAGAGCUGGCAAUAGGAACAGAUGGUUUAGUGUGACCACUGCAUUCAGGUGAUCAGUCUGAUGCUUUUCGUUUUGUUUCCAAAACUGAAGGUGUGUGCACAGACAGCACACCCAUCAUUCACAACCACACGCUGCUGUUUUCUCCAGACACACUUUGUCAAAAGAAUACACUUGUUUUUAAAAGGAAACGAGCACACUCAGAGCAGCCAGAAAUCCUGGUUUCCUUACCCAGAGAACAGAACAGGGAGAUCGGGUUCUUGGCCUCCACAGGAGAAGUGCAGAGUGUGGAUGGCAGCACUGGUACCUCUGAGCACAAACUGGGGAUCUGGAGGUGGCAGAGCCAUCCCAGCAAUGAACUGUGGGGGUGAGAAGAAGACACAGAUAUUAGCGAGGGGAAGGCAAAAUGAAAGGUAAAGUGAAAUGACAACUUUGAAUAUAUUCUGAGCAGGACGUUGCUUUUCCUGGUCCCUUUGCUCUUUGAAUUAUCAUUACUGAAUGUAUUUCUAUUUGCCACACAGCUCAGGGUAAAGCAUUUCCUCUGAACAGCAGCUGUGAAGCAGUGCCCAGCCUGCUCUUUGCUGCACUGCUCUGUCAGGGAGGUGCUGAGCUGGCCACACACACCCCCCUCACGCUCUCGGAAAUACAAAAUUGGUCACCUGUUCUCCCCGCUGCAAAGGGCAAGAGCCACACAACACAAGAAACUGGAUACCCAUAAUUUCAGUGGGCAAGCAAUUCAUCAUUCCCUUUAGCCCCUUGGCUAAGUCUUUCCCCUUCCUCCCCAUAAAAAUACUACUUGUGUGUUUCCCCUCACAACCGUUUCCAGAAAGCACUGCAGUGAACAUAUCAACUGCAAAGGAUUUCUGAUGAGACUGGAGUUCUGGUGCACACAAGAAUUCCAUUACUCUUGAGUGUUUGAAUUUUUGGUUCCAAGCACAGUUACAGGAAAAAAGAAAUGCAGUAUUUCACACUCAGUGACUACUGUGUUAAACAUUUUAUUCCAAGCAGUUUGUAUUCCCUAAAGGACCAAAAGGGAUGGAUACCUUCAGCUUCAUGUCAUCGGUUCAAAGGUGGUCGGGCUCAGCACAGAACAGGACUGCUGUUUGGGGAAGGAGCUGCCCUGUCCCAUGAGGGAAACACAAAGGACAGUUCCUGAUGAGCUCCCAGGGACAGCCCGUGCCAUUCCCACAGGCCCAGCCUGUGCCAUUCCCACAAACCCAGCCCGUGCCAUUCCCACAGGCAGCUCUCCCUGCCCUGGCACCCUCGCCAGGUAUUUCCAGUCACAGAACACCUGCACAGGCAGCUCUGCACAAGUACCAGAGAAGGAUGAGAAUGACUUUUCUGUGUUCUGACUUGCUGCAAAUGACCCUGUGCUGGGACAAGGGAACCAGCAGCUUCUUUGACUGGAACUGCAAUUUGCAAUUCAUUGGAAAAUGUGUUAUAAUGUCCAUUACAAAAAAUAUAUUCACCACGAAAAGUGUUUACUGCCUUAUCUGUGGCAUUACUAGCUAUGCUUUAUGUUUGCUUCUUCAUUUCUGACCUGACUUCACACAGAAAAGGUCAUCUUUCGCCACUACAGAUGUCAACUCUUGUCACUUUUGCCUACUCAUGCAUAUAUUACCCCAGAUUAGACAAAAAUUUUGCUAAAUUCAGUAAGGAAGAUCAGCAGGUGUUUGUCUGCCUGCUGGCUCACAGCAGAGGGAUUGCAGUGAAUCAGAACAGAGCACUAGAGCUACAAGUUCCAUGUAAAACAGCUCAACUGUUCGUCAUCGCCCCUCAGCAUCACUUUUGAAUCGUGUUCAGUGGAUGCACUUGCUGCUGCACCUCAUUUGCAGGUCUACCUUGAGUGUUUAUAGAUCAGUAAUCACCAUGGUAUCUAUAGGUCCUAAUUAAAUGCAAUUAUCUUUUAGAACUAGUGAUGAAACAUAAUGUGCAGCAUAAUGUGCAGUUCUCUCUCAAUAGCACUGUGUAAUUAGGUAUGAAAAUGAUGAGCUCAGUGGGUCCCCUCCGUGUUUUAGGGCCCUGACUCAUCUGUUUUAUGAUGCUGUCGGCGGAUCCAGGCUCCUGACAGGCAUUACACGAUGUACAGGUUGGCCCCAUGGCGAGAUCCAGCUCCUGGGUGCCCAUCUGUACCCUGCUGUACACGUUACACCUGUACCCUGGGUUACAAACCCGUGAGAGGGAGGAUUCUGUGCCCAGGGGUCCCUCUCUGGGCACCCCAGCUGUGUGCUGGUGCCCUCAGCCCCCCUCUGUGGAGCCCUGUCAGUGUGAGGAGCUGGGGGCUGGUCCGAGGGUGCAGCACUCCCCGUGCUCAGCACGAGGCAGAGCCGAGCCAGCCCAGGGCCAGCUGGGAUUACAAGGCAGGCUUUUAACAGCGUUUGUCUAAUUACCCCCACAGGUUUCUGCUGACAGACAGCAGUGUGUGCGUGGCUGUGGGAAGGCUUUACCUGGCAUCAAACAGACGCUACUAAUGCAUGUCUUUACAAGGAGGAGGGUUCAGAACAAUCCUCAGACCGGUUACAAGAGAAAAAACCAACUACUGAAAACAUACUUCUGAGCUGUAAGCAAAUGAAGGGACUUUUUGCUCUUUGGAGCCUGGUUCUUUCCUUACUUUUCUGCUAAUCAUAUAUGUGAAUCUGGAAAUUUGGCUUAAUAUUAAACCCAAUUUUUAUUGA